rnacentral:antisense_RNA from 1 species
UUGGCGGUGAACUCCCAAGUGGCCUCGUCGUCCGCCAGGAGCUGACCACCGAAGUGCUUCCCGCCGGCCAGCACUCCCAGCUCCGCCCGCUCCCCGUAGGGUCCGGUACCGAGUUUGUUCACCUUGCCGUGGGCGAUGAGCACGACCUCGUCGACCGAUUGUCCCGCCUCGGCGAUGACGUCGCCCGCGGCGUACUCGCGCUGCACGAACCGCUCGGCCAGGCCCUCCAGCACCGAGGUGUCGUCGAAUCCGCGCAACGCGGGCAGCUCGCACAGCUCGCCCGGGAUCACCCGCACCGUCGAGCCGGUGUUGGAGAACGUCACGAGCCCGUCCCCGAGCUGGUAGGUCAACCGCCGGUUCACCCGGUAGGCGCCCCCUGUGGCCUGCACCCACGGCAGCAGGCGCAGCAACCACCGCGAGGUGAUCGACUGCAUCUGCGGGGGCGUCUUCGUCGUCGUCGCCAGGUUUCGCGCCGCCGACGUACCCAGGCUCAACCGCGACUGCCCGU